rnacentral:rRNA from 1 species
CUACGGGUGGCUCCAGUGGGGAAUUUUGGACAAUGGGGGAAACCCUGAUCCAGCCAUUCCGCGUGAGUGAAGAAGGCCUUCGGGUUGUAAAGCUCUUUCGGCAGGAACGAAACGCUCUGGACUAAUACUCUGGGGUAAUGACGGUACCUGAAGAAGAAGCACCGGCUAACUACGUGCCAGCAGCCGCGGUAAUACGUAGGGUGCGAGCGUUAAUCGGAAUUACUGGGCGUAAAGCGUGCGCAGGCGGUUAUGUAAGACAGGUGUGAAAUCCCCGGGCUUAACCUGGGAACUGCGCUUGUGACUGCAUAACUCGAGUGUGGCAGAGGGGGGUGGAAUUCCACGUGUAGCAGUGAAAUGCGUAGAGAUGUGGAGGAACACCGAUGGCGAAGGCAGCCCCCUGGGUCAACACUGACGCUCAUGCACGAAAGCGUGGGUAGCAAACAGGAUUAGAUACCCCGGUAGUC